GAUCCUGGCUCAGGACGAACGCUGGCGGCGUGCUUAACACAUGCAAGUCGAACGAGAAUCUACUGAAAGAGUUUUCGGACAAUGGAUGUAGAGGAAAGUGGCGGACGGGUGAGUAACGCGUGAGGAACCUGCCUUGAAGAGGGGGACGACAGUUGGAAACGACUGCUAAUACCGCAUGACGCAUAGAGGUCGCAUGAUUUUUAUGCCAAAGAUUUAUCGCUUCAAGAUGGCCUCGCG
rnacentral:rRNA from 1 species